UGAGAGAAAAUGGCAACAGACAGAUUAAUGAGUAUCUUAUCAGCUCUCAGGGCUGUGAGCAAGCUACUUGGGAAAACGCCGUGGUGUCCUGAUAGAAAAUGUUUUGAUAUUUAAGGUAUAGGCAAAAAAAGUGUGUGUGUGUGCGUGUAUGUGUGUGUGUGUGUGUGGGGGGGGGUGCGUUUCUUUCGUUCAGAACAAUGGCAUCCAAAGUAGGAGGGCACACGUGCAGGAAGCCCGGACCCCAAGAGGGAGGCUUGGAACUCGCAGAGCACAGAGGAAGU